rnacentral:misc_RNA from 1 species
AAGUCGUAACAAGGUUUCCGUAGGUGAACCUGCGGAAGGAUCAUUACAGAGAACAUUGCCCUUACGGGUGACUCUCCAACCCUAUGUUAUUAUACCUUUGUUGCUUUGGCGAGCCGCCUCGGCCACCGGCUCACGCUGGUGAGUGCUCGCCAGAGGACCCCAAACUCUGAAUGUUAGUGUCGUCUGAGUACUAUAUAAUAGUUAAAACUUUCAACAACGGAUCUCUUGGUUCUG